AACGAACGCUGGCGGCAGGCUUAACACAUGCAAGUCGAACGCAUCCUUCGGGGGUGAGUGGCAGACGGGUGAGUAACACGUGGGAACGUACCUUUCGGUUCGGGAUAACCCAGGGAAACUUGGGCUAAUACCGGAUACGUCCUUAGGGAGAAAGAUUGAUUGCCGAAAGAUCGGCCCGCGUCUGAUUAGCUAGUUGGUGAGGUAACGGCUCACCAAGGCGACGAUCAGUAGCUGGUCUGAGAGGANGAUCAGCCACACUGGGACUGAGACACGGCCCAGACUCCUACGGGAGGCAGCAGUGGGGAAUAUUGGACAAUGGGCGCAAGCCUGAUCCAGCCAUGCCGCGUGAGUGAUGAAGGCCCUAGGGUUGUAAACCUCUUUCAGUACCGACGAAGCGCCGAUGAUGGUGGUGACGGUAGGUACAGAAGAAGCACCGGCCAACUACGUGCCAGCAGCCG
rnacentral:rRNA from 1 species